GGAAGGAGGAGGCAGCCAGAGUGUUCUCUGCAGCAGAAGACCCCUUGCUGCCCUGCUUAACCCAGACCAGCAUUUGCCAGUUCAGAUAUGUCACUUGGAUGGAAGGAAGUAUUCUUGAUUGGGUAAAAGCCGUGAUGGACUGAAUUCUCCCGGUUAAGAUGGAAAAUGGGCUUGGAAAACCAUGCCAUUUCCCCCCAAACUUGGAGCAGUGAUUGCAGAAAAGCCCUCCGUGGGGUUCCUGGGCCACACAGAGGCCUAUCUCACAGGCUCCCAGCCUCCAACAUGGCCGCCACCCUGCCGAAAGAAGGCUGAAAACUGGCCAAACUGGCUCUUGGGGAGGCAUAUAGAAGGCCGAGGGGGAGAGGAGGAACCCCCAUGUACCCUCC